rnacentral:lncRNA from 1 species
AUUAAAUAACAUAUAUAUAAUUCAAUAGUAAUAUAAAUAUAAGAAAAGAAGAUUUAGAAAUGUAAAUCUUAAGGAGUCACGUCAAGGGCCCUGUUAUAAAGUCGUGUUGCCUUCUGUUCAUACCGUUACUUUUGACGCUACACGGCUCCAAGAUAAAAUUUGUUUAGCUCACAGCCGAUUCUCCUUUGAUGGGCAUGACCACAUGGAGAUAAGUGGACGAACCUUUAUCGAGUUGCCAAAAUAUAUAAAUAGAAUGUAUAUGGAGGAUUUUUUGUGUAUUCAAGUUGUAUCUCAAGUUAUAUUUCAAGUUGUAUGAAAAUCAAUCCAUUUCAUAGGGAAAAUUUCAAUCCCAACAUUCAAAAAAAAAUCCAAUUUAUAUACAAGUUACACUAUAACAUCAAUAGGUUUUAAUUUUUGUUAAAACUGAAACUUAAAUGGUUGAAAGAUUAAAAUUUAUUUUAUAUUUUACAACAAUAAUGGACUUAAUUUUUCAUGUUCUCUCUCUACCUUGCUCCUUGAGACUAGAUUUUGGAAUAUCUCAUGCACUUAUUCGUGUAGAUUGAGAAAUGGAAUGUUCUCGCAAAAAUCUACUCCAUUUGCAGAGAAUAUCAUGUAGAUUUAAACUGAAUAUGUUCUUAAAUAUUCAUAUGUUUUUUCAUGGAAUUGCAUUUAAUGUCGCAACCUGCCAAAUGUUUUCAUUUUAAACAAAUAUCAUUUCAGAAUGUUAUGGAAAAUGAACCAAGUUUGAUAGCUUAUUUGGUUCAUGUUGUUCAUUUUCCAUUCUGGUUGCUAAUUAUCUUCUUUGUUGAUCUUAAUUGCAAGACACUGAUAGUUGCUAUCCCCAAUAUACUGUUCAUGGUUAUAGUUGACAUUAAUUAGCAGAAUGGAUGAAUGAGAUCAAUCUAUUUGACCCAAAUAAGCACGAGAUAAGGCUCAGUUGAGUUGUUGACAUUAUUGUAAUAUGUAUUUGUAAUUUGAGUUACCCUUUUACUCUUCUCCCACCUCUAUCUUAUGUUUCUCUGUCUUGAUGGAUAAGGAGUGAGGGCUGAAAUGGGUGUCGGCCUUAUAUUUUCUGCGUAUUAAAUUUGCGCGUGUAUUAUCUUGAAAUUGAAGCUUAAAUUUUAACGGACACAAAAUUAUUUGAUAUAACUUACCAUAACGUGAAGUUUUAAUUAUGUCAGUGAAAAUUGUCAAAUUUUUGGAGCAUUAUCAAGCUCUCUGUUGGUCCUACAUUUUAAAGAUGAUGAUUAUCUACUAAAACUAUAAGCAUUUGUUUUUUGCAGGCCAAGAAUGUGUUUUUCAAAUGGAUCACCCCGGCAUACGGGUUGUGAAUUGUGCUGGGGCUCGCAACUUCAAGUUCUUUCUCCUUUCUGUUGUGAGAACAGUUGCAUUUCCCAUCAAUCUAUAGUCUUGUUGUAUAUAAAUAUGAGACUUCCGCUGAGGAUAUUUAUGGUGAUGCUUCCUCUAUGCAUACUGUAUGUUAAUUGAGAAACCUCUGGAAUAAAAUGGAGGCACCAAAUAAAAAUGUUGGGGUGGGGGGAUGGUGUAUUUAGUUUUUAUUUUUGAAAUUGAGGAGGAGAGACUAGGGCCUUUCCAGUGUGUAACGCCUUGUUAUUUCUUUUAUCUUCCAUCAGUUUAUUCAUCAAAAGCAUAGAAGAAUUAAUUUGUUCAUUUGGCUUUUACAUAAAAUUUUACAUUUACUUUUUGCAUUAACUUGGGUUCUAUCAGAUUAAUUUCUCUUCCACAUAAAGAAAAACUGGAAUUUCGCAUAUUUUUGGCUCUGAUCUUUAGAUAUUUUACACUUUCACGUACCUGACAUGGGCUCUAUAAUAAGUCUUGAGAACUGUAGGAAUGGUUAGUUGAAUUUCAUUGUAAUGACAACUUGCUCUUCAUAAUGUAAAUUCAAUGAAAUGAAACACAUUGCUUGGAACUUUAUUAAAGAUGAAGUGCUUUGGUUUCGAUACCCACCGAUGUUCAAUUGCUUUUCAGAAUCUACUAUGUUAGAUAGUCCUAAUGGACCUUGCACAUCUAAACUAAAUAUGAAUUAAAGUUUUUCUUUUUUUGCAAAUAUGCAUCGAAGUUUGUUUACUGUUAUUCUUCAUACAAUCUCAAGAUAUUUCAACCAUUAUUUCCAUAUAUUUUAAUCCCUGAGAAAAUGCCUUUAAACUCUAUCUGCUACUCCACAUAUUUAAACGACAUUUUGUAAUUAUAUCAAACUGAGCCCAAUCGGUCAUUUCACAGUUUAUAAACUUCACUUUCCUUUAGUGGCAUCAGUCACCAUGUCAGUUAUUCUCUCAAGGUAACAAGAACAAGAGAUAAGCCAGCCUCCCCAGACCAUAUGGGGUAUUUCGGAAGGAAAACGAGGUUUUCUUUCAGUUUCUUUUCUAUAUAUGUGAAUGGACUCUUGGAAUGAUUUUUGUUUUUUUUGUUUUUUAUAGCUUUAUUCCUUUCUAGAGACACCAAUGAAUACUCUUGCGCUUCUACCCAACUUCAUAGAUUUUUAUAAUCAUGCCAGUCGUCAUUCCACUUCAAGUAGACAACUUUCUGUCACUUUCCUGUCCUUCGGUAAUUUCUCCUUCUGAAUAAAUGAUCAUCAUAUCAAUAUGCUGUAUCUACCUCUUCAUCAUUUUUGUGUUUCUCUUACAUAUUCUGUACCUUGUUGCAGUUCUGAAUUUAGCUUUUGCUCUAAGUCUUCUUUGUUUCGUAAUUAUGCAUUCAUCUCUUCUAGUGAGCAACGCCACUUUGGUUGAGGUAAAUCCAUAUUGAACUAGCACGGUUUAUAUUGUAUUAGAUGUUCGACAUAGAACAAUCUUCCAUGAAUAGAAUCUUAAAUUUAACAUGCAGAACUCUAAGUUGCACAACUUUUCUUGAUGGAUGGUCUUUGUGUAUCUAUUACUUCAGGUUAGCGAGAAAAAAAUAGCUGUGUAGUUGAAGUUCGAUUUGGGAUGAAAAUGAACUUUGAGCAGGACAAACAUAUUGAUUCUCUCUUUUGAUUCUUAUAUCAAUCUCCGAAAAGUGUGUGCUUAUUAAAAAGAUGAUAAGAGAAGUCAGAGAAAAUUGGUAAUAUCACAUUGAAGCUUUCUAAUGUUAAUUGAAAGUACUGGAGAAAGGAAACAUAUCAAUAAGAUUAUUAUCCUAAGUAUGUGGAUAAUCUCCUUCAUAAGUAUCAGAGUACUAGUUGAGAAUGUAACUAACUAUUACCUUGUAUUUGUGCCCAAACCAUGGCACUGCCCAGUUUAAGUUUUCAUGGUUUUUAGAAGGAGAAAAAUUAGCUUUAGUUUCUGAAGUUGAACGGAGGUUAGUGUUAUCAAACAAAGCUCUAGAGCUGAUGGGUGCGUCCCAGUAAUUUGAUACGGAUCCAUCUUGCACAUUGAUUCAAUUGGUUGCUCUUAGGAGCAUGUUGUAAUAAUGGUCUCUUUAUGAGUGAUUUUCUCAUCGUAAUAUCUUGAAUUAAGUCCUAUGGAGAAUUUGGACAAGACAGUUGGAAAAAUUGUGAUCUCUCGAUAGUGGAUUCAUUGUUUUUUGGCCAUUGAUGUAAUCAACCACAUAAAUGGCAAGUACAUUGUCUUCUUGUUCUUCCUAUAAUUUAACUUUUCUGUCUCAGGUAUUGAAUGGUUUGUUGCAGAACCACUUCUGAAAAAUACUCUGUAUUUCAGUUCCUUGCUAUCUGGAAACUUAUCAGAAUUUGAGCUAAUGUUGUAGUCAAUUAGGUAAUAGAUUUACUGCACUUCCGAUUUAUUUUCUUUAUUUAGGUUUUUGGCACUAGAAAGUUAUUUUGGUUCUUCCCACUAUUUGCAAAGGAAGAUUUGGAGAAAAUACCUGUACUAAAUGGCCUAGAUUUUCCCACGCGCUCAUAUAUUGAAGCAUGAGGAACAUUGAUCACCUUCCGAAGUAUGUCUGUUAUUUUUCUUUAGUAGUCAUUAAUUUUCACAAGGUGGGUUUUCUAAUUCGUUCUAUAAAAUUUAAAAUUUAUAAGUUCUUGUUUUUUGGUAAUUUGUCCUUGUAGCAUCUAUAAAGUUGAAUCAUUUACAAAAAACACAUUUUUGCACAAGCAUAUAUAUCUUAUUGUGAACUGAGAAAUAUUGGACAUGUAUCAUGUGCCCCAUAAUCUCAUAAAAUCUACUGUCUAUCUGUGUAGUUUCCAACUUUUGGACCUGCAUGUUCUCUUUUUCGUGAAAUAGAACUCUCAGUUCUUCUGGCUCAGUUAAUGGCAUGUUGAUCUGGCUAUAAUUGAUCCUAUAAAUUCAAUAGAAAUGCUAUUUUUUUACUUUUGUUGUUGUUCAUGAAUACUAACAUGAUUGACACAAGUUUCCCUUUAUCUUAAAGUUAGCUUUCAAAUCAUUUAUACUACUAUAUAUGGUGCAGAUUUUGAAAUUUGAUGAAUUUGAUCUUUUCUCCAUGAGCCCACUCCUCCCUGAGCUGUCUGCAUCUCAUGGUAGCAGCCUUAUUUCAUCUCUUUGCACAAAACAGAAGGCGUAUCAAAUGAAUGAUUCAUUGAUUGAAGGCCCCCAUUUAUGAAUUAUAUUAUAGUCCGAGAAAUGCUACAUCUACGCCCAGGUUUACCACCUGGGUGAUAGAAUGUAGAGGUGGCAACAUUUCAUAGGCUGGUGGACAAAAAAAAAAAAAAUGUUCCACCGGCCUAUGAAAUCUUGCCACUUGUGCAUUCUAUCAAACCCACCUGGGUGUACCAAGUAUCAUUUUUCUUAUAGUUCUAUUUGAGUAGAUUACAAACACUAAAAUGCAUGCUUACUGGGGAAGGUGACAUUUUGGCCUUGCAUAUCUCCUCCCUAACAUCAUUGCUUUCCUCUUUUCAAUAUUAUAGACCUGCUAGUCACUCAUUAGAAAUCAUGCUUAAAGGUAUUCAAAUUGACAUAUAAUACUCAUAUGCUUGGUAUCAAUUACAUGUAUUUUGUCCCACAAGAAAGCAGAAAGUUUUUUGGUGAUACACAGGCACAGACUUUUUGUACCACGCUCCCAGCAAGGAGCCUGCUGGAAAUCAUACGAACAAACAGCUUUUUCUUAAUGGCAGCUGAGUCGGUUGAUCAUCUAUCGGGUCGUGAAAUGUCUUUUUCUAGCGAACUAUGUGGGGAGUUGUGACAGGAGUUGCAGAUAUCUGAUAUAAAGACUGAUAACCAAACAGUGAGUGGUGUAGCAAAAAGAAUGAGACCUACAGGCACCAUCCACUGCUGUUCAUUUGUAGGAUGAUAAUAAAACUCCCACCAAGCCAAUAUUAGCCCACCCACCAUGCUUACUGAAAAUGAUCCCAAGCAAACUAUCCAUAUCUUUACAAUCCUCAGAAAUCUUCUGUAUCUCUCAUCUUCCGUGUCUUCAUAUGAUGCCAUCAAGUGUCUGAUGUCGAAAUCCUUUACGUGUUUUCUUCGCGUGGAAAAGUUUUGAUAGAACAACGAGAGAUUAGACGACUGAAACCUACUGAAACAGAAAUGGUAAGAGGCUUUAUAUAUAGAUGCCUUGAAUUAGGCAGGCUAUUCCCAUUGAACCUCCAUCAGACGUGCCUUUUGACUAAAGUUGUUCCCUGUAGAAACCAUCAUCAUGUAGAGAGGAAGAACAUCAUUGCGUCUCGGUUUUUCUAUACAAGAAGUGAUUGAUAGAGGUUUGUGCUGGGGUAGAUUCAUUUCGUUUAAUAAGCCUAUCAAAAUUUCAUUUGACAAGUGGCUUCUUUGAUACGUAAGAAAUUGAUGGGGGAAUUAUUAUUUGGAGGAGGUAUAUAUCAUAGACAAAGUGAAUUCAAUGCAUAUCUAAACAAGCAAUGUGAAAGUUACAUGUUUCCAAGUUAUUUUAGGAAUUUAUGUAGAAUACUGGGG